rnacentral:misc_RNA from 1 species
GAUGAAGAACGUAGCGAAAUGCGAUAAGUAAUGUGAAUUGCAGAAUUCAGUGAAUCAUCGAAUCUUUGAACGCACCUUGCACCCUUUGGCAUUCCGAAGGGUAUGCUCGUUUGAGUGUCAUUGUACUCUCACACUCUCCGAUCCUAUGGGUUCGGGGAGCGGUGGACUUGGGUGUUGCUGCCUUUCCCUGUGGCUCACCUCAAAUGCGUCAGUGCACCUCUUGGUUGGACAUAGUACGGCGUGAUAAGUGUCUUCGCCGGCACCUCGCAAGAGGGUGGCCGAUCGGGAGCUCUGCGCUUUCAAACCGUCUUCGGACAAUUUCUGACAUCUUGACCUCAAAUCGAGUAGGACUACCCGCUGAACUUAAGCAUAUCAAUAAGCGGAGGA